UAAACAAAAACCAAUACAAAAUUAAAAACUAACUUCAUCAAAAACCAAGUCUCUAAGCAAUGGAUGUCUUGGCUCCUCACACGAUGAAGAACGUGGCAUAAUGUGUUAAGUAACCGGGAGUUGCAAACAUCAUGACAGGUUAAUCUUUGAAUGCAAAUUGCGCUAAACUCGAUCUCGGUCGAGAAGCAUGGGUGUGACAGUACUACAUCUUUUAUAAUAAUUCUUAUUCUAAGCGAAUAAGUAAAUAAUAUAUAAGACAAACAACACGUAGUCUGCCAUACGCAGGAAGACCCGCUGAACUGAAGCAUCUCAUUAAGCGG
rnacentral:rRNA from 1 species